GAAGGGGGCGAGCGUUGUUCGGAAUUACUGGGCGUAAAGGGCGCGCAGGCGGCUCUGAAAGUCAGAUGUGAAAGCCCCGGGCUUAACCUGGGAAUUGCAUUUGAUACUCUGGAGCUUGAGUACGGGAGAGGAUAGUGGAAUUCCCAGUGUAGAGGUGAAAUUCGUAGAUAUUGGGAAGAACACCGGUGGCGAAGGCGGCUAUCUGGACCGUAACUGACGCUGAGGCGCGAAAGCGUGGGGAGCAAACAGGAUUAGAUACCCUGGUAGUCCACGCCGUAAACGAUGUGCGCUAGACGUUGGAAGGCUUAGCCUUUCGGUGUCGCAGCUAACGCGAUAAGCGCACCGCCUGGGGAGUACGGCCGCAA
rnacentral:rRNA from 1 species